GUGAGGAAUUUUGCGCAAUGGGGGAAACCCUGACGCAGCGACGCCGCGUGGAGGAUGACGGCCUUCGGGUUGUAAACUCCUGUCAGAGGUGAAGAAGCCCCGCAAGGGGUUGACGGUAACUUCAGAGGAAGCCCCGGCUAACUACGUGCCAGCAGCCGCGGUAAUACGUAGGGGGCGAGCGUUGCUCGGAAUUACUGGGCGUAAAGGGUGUGCAGGUGGCUGAGCAAGUCAACGAUGAAAUCCCGAGGCUCAACUUCGGAAUUGUUUUUGAUACUGCUCAGCUUGAGGACAGUUGAGGAGGGCGGAAUUCCCGGUGGAGCGGUGAAAUGCGUAGAUAUCGGGAGGAACACCUGAGGCGAAGGCGGCUCUCUAAACUGCUCCUGACACUGAGACACGAAAGCUAGGGGAGCAAACGGGAUUAGAUACCCUAGUAGUCC
rnacentral:rRNA from 1 species